rnacentral:tRNA from 1 species
UCCUCAGUAGCUCAGUGGUAGAGCGGUCGCUGUUAACUGACUGGUCGUAGGUUCGAAUCCUACUUGGGGAG